rnacentral:rRNA from 1 species
UUGUGCCAGCAGGCCGCGGUGUUCCGCCUGCCGACCACCACCUUUGCCGAGGACGACGGCUCGAUCACCAACAGCUCGCGCUGGCUGCAGUGGCACCACCAGGCCGCGCCGCCGCCCGGUGAGGCGAAGACCGAUACGGCGAUUCUCGCCGGGUUGUUCCAUCGCCUGCAGAAGCUCUAUCAGGAGGAGGGAGGCGCCUUCCCCGAACCGAUCCUCAACCUGACCUGGGACUACAGCGACCCGGCGCAUCCCGCCGCGGCCU